rnacentral:rRNA from 1 species
GACGAACCGUGCGAACGUUAUUCGGAAUCAUUGGGCUUAAAGGGCGCGUAGGCGGCGGUGUAAGUUGGAAGUGAAAUCCCAUCGGCUCAACCGUGGAAUUGCUCCCAGUACUGCACUGCUCGAGGGGGAUAGGGGUCUGCGGAACUACCGGUGGAGCGGUGAAAUGUGUUGAUAUCGGUGGGAACGCCAGUGGCGAAAGCGGCAGACUUGACCCUUCCUGACGCUGCAGCGCGAAAGCUAGGGGAGCAAACGGGG